AUUGAACGCUGGCGGCAGGCUUAACACAUGCAAGUCGAGCGGAGACUUCGGUCUUAGCGGCGAACGGGUGAGGAAUGCCUGGGAAUCUGCCUGUUAGUGGGGGAUAACGUUCCGAAAGGAACGCUAAUACCGCAUACGUCCUACGGGAGAAAGCAGGGGACCUUCGGGCCUUGCGCUAACAGAUGAGCCCAGGUCGGAUUAGCUAGUUGGUGGGGUAAAGGCUCACCAAGGCGACGAUCCGUAGCUGGUCUGAGAGGAUGAUCAGCCACACUGGAACUGAGACACGGUCCAGACUCCUACGGGAGGCAGCAGUGGGGAAUAUUGGACAAUGGGGGAAACCCUGAUCCAGCCAUGCCGCGUGUGUGAAGAAGGCCUCGGUUGGUUAAAGGACACUUUAAGUACGGGGAGGGAA
rnacentral:rRNA from 1 species